rnacentral:misc_RNA from 1 species
GAUGAAGAACGCAGCGAAAUGCGAUAAGUAAUGUGAAUUGCAGAAUUCAGUGAAUCAUCGAAUCUUUGAACGCACAUUGCGCCCUUUGGUAUUCCAAAGGGCAUGCCUGUUCGAGCGUCAUUUGUACCCUCAAGCUUUGCUUGGUGUUGGGCGUCUUGUCUCUAGCUUUGCUGGAGACUCGCCUUAAAGUAAUUGGCAGCCGGCCUACUGGUUUCGGAGCGCAGCACAAGUCGCACUCUCUAUCAGCAAAGGUCUAGCAUCCAUUAAGCCUUUUUUUCAACUUUUGACCUCGGAUCAGGUAGGGAUACCCGCUGAACUUAAGCAUAUCAAUAAGCGGAGGA